ACAUAUGAAAAUACAAUAUUAUUGUUCUGUGGUCAAUAUAACUCAUAAUAUUAUUAUUUUUUUGUAUAAUUAUUUUUUAUACCGUAUUUUAAUAUUUGUCGGGACAACUACUGAACUACGCACAAAUUCGCAAAUCAACUGCAUAAAAUCGUCUACAGACUACAGUCCCCGAUUAUUGUCGGCACAAAUUACAAGGCGGUAUCGGGCACAAAUGUAUUGUGACAAGGUGACAAAAGUGUUUGCUUACAAUGAUUAAUUGCUGUAUGAAGGAAAAUGGAUGCGGGACAAACACUGGUGACAUUCAAUACUUCGUUCAUUAUAAAGAUUUUGAAACUAAAUGGGAUGAAUAGACUGAUGUUGUUGAUGAAGUGUUGGGGACAAGUUGGAGAUUAAUGAAAUUAAUUUGGGUCACAGGGAGAGGUCGGCCCAAAAAAAAUGUAGAACAAGCUACAGAACCAGCUAUAGAAUAAUCUGCAAUAUCAGCUUUAGAAGAUGAAGCAGCUGUUCGGGCUGUUGUUAUUAUUGUAUUAAACAUUAUUUCCUGUUCAAAGCUUCUUACAAUGAAUUUCGCAAAUUAAAACUACAACUUAUUUUAAAGGAAGCAAUGGUUUUCGAUCGUACGAUGCACAAUACAUUCCAAAAGGAAAUGUUCAACGAUGUUCUAUGUUGCCUUAAUACAAUAUUUUAAUACUUCUGUUUAUAAACAUCUAACAUAUAUGAACGAGUAAAGGUACUGUAUACAAAGUGAGAUUUUUGGAGGAUAAUUAUGAUUCUUUUUUCACUGUCGAUGAUUACAUAGAAAUUGAAGAAAUGUGGUUCAUCUAUGGUUCAUGUACAUAGACAUUAGAGAAUAUUAUGUUUGUGGCACGUGGUUUCUGCAUAAUAUGACAAAAUAGAUUAUAAUAUAUUAUAAUAAUAAUAUAUUGUAUUAUAUAUUAUAUUAUUAUAUAUAUUUUUUUUUUUUUAUAUGUUAUCUAUGAAUAUAUUUUAUCAAUAGGUUAUGUAUAAUAUAUGUUAAUGUGUAUAAUACAGAGAUUUUAAGCAACCUUGUUAAUUUACAAAAAAAUAUCCCAAUGUAUAUUAAAUAAUAUUAAUUUAUAAUAUUAUAUAAUAAAGCCCCGUUCACACGACCAAAUAAUUUGUCAAAUAUUGGACGUUUGCCAAACUCCAAAUAUUUUAGAACCAUUUCUAAAAUAUUUGAAGUUUGACGUAGAUCAAAUAUUUGACAAAUUAUUUAUCGUGUGAACGGGGCUUAAAUGUACAUUGCUCACAAACAGGGGUGCUUCAAUAAAUUUGAUUGAAACGAU